rnacentral:rRNA from 1 species
UACGAAGGGGGCUAGCGUUGUUCGGAAUUACUGGGCGUAAAGGGCUCGUAGGCGGCCAACUAAGUCAGACGUGAAAUCCCUCGGCUUAACCGGGGAACUGCGUCUGAUACUGGAUGGCUUGAGUUUGGGAGAGGGAUGCGGAAUUCCAGGUGUAGCGGUGAAAUGCGUAGAUAUCUGGAGGAACACCGGUGGCGAAGGCGGCAUCCUGGACCGGCAUUGACGCUGAGGCGCGAAAGCCAGGGGAGCAAACGGG